rnacentral:rRNA from 1 species
UACGUAGGGUGCAAGCGUUAAUCGGAAUUACUGGGCGUAAAGCGUGCGCAGGCGGUUUUGUAAGUCAGAUGUGAAAUCCCCGGGCUUAACCUGGGAACUGCGUUUGAAACUACAAGGCUAGAGUGUGGCAGAGGGGGGUGGAAUUCCACGUGUAGCAGUGAAAUGCGUAGAGAUGUGGAGGAACACCGAUGGCGAAGGCAGCCCCCUGGGUUAACACUGACGCUCAGGCACGAAAGCGUGGGGAGCAAACGGG